rnacentral:rRNA from 1 species
GGGGAAUCUUGCACAAUGGGGGCAACCCUGAUGCAGCGACGCCGCGUGAGCGAUGAAGCCCUUCGGGGCGUAAAGCUCUUUCGACCGGAACGAUAAUGACGGUACCGGGAGAAGAAGCUGCGGCUAACUACGUGCCAGCAGCCGCGGUAAUACGUAGGCAGCAAGCGUUGUUCGGAGUUACUGGGCGUAAAGAGUGCGUAGGCGGUUUUCUAAGUUCGGUGUGAAAUCUCCCGGCUUAACUGGGAGGGUGCGCCGAAGACUGGGAAGCUGGAGUGUGGGAAAGGCAGGCGGAAUUCCUGGUGUAGCGGCGAAAUGCGUAGAUAUCAGGAGGAACACCGGCGGUGUAGACGGCUUGCUAGACCAUAACUGACGCUGAGGCACGAAAGCGUGGGUAGCAAACA